rnacentral:rRNA from 2 species
UACGGAGGAUGCGAGCGUUAUCCGGAUUUAUUGGGUUUAAAGGGUGCGUAGGCGGGAUGCCAAGUCAGCGGUAAAAAUGCGGUGCUCAACGCCGUCGAGCCGUUGAAACUGGCGUUCUUGAGUGGGCGAGAAGUAUGCGGAAUGCGUGGUGUAGCGGUGAAAUGCAUAGAUAUCACGCAGAACUCCGAUUGCGAAGGCAGCAUACCGGCGCCCUACUGACGCUGAGGCACGAAAGCGUGGGUAUCGAACAGG